GGUUAAGUGACUAAGCGUACACGGUGGAUGCCUUGGCAGUCAGAGGCGAUGAAAGACGUAGUAACUUGCGAUAAGCCCAGAUUAGGUAGUAACAACCAUUUGAGUCUGGGAUUUCUGAAUGGGGAAACCCACUUACAUAAGUAAGUAUCAUUAACUGAAUACAUAGGUUAAUGAGGCGAACCGGGGGAACUGAAACAUCUAAGUACCCCGAGGAAAAGAAAUCAACCGAGAUUCCGAAAGUAGCGGCGAGCGAAAUUGGACUAGCCCUUAAGCUUUACACGCGUUAGACGAACGGUCUGGAAAGUCCGACGAUACAGGGUGAUAGUCCCGUAGUUGACGACGUGUGUUCAGUGAAAUCGAGUAGGGCGGGACACGUGAUAUCCUGUCUGAAUAUGGGGGGACCAUCCUCCAAGGCUAAAUACUACUGACUGACCGAUAGUGAACCAGUACCGUGAGGGAAAGGCGAAAAGAACCCCUGUGAGGGGAGUGAAAUAGAACCUGAAACCGUGUACGUACAAGCAGUAGGAGCAGGCUUUGUCCUGUGACUGCGUACCUUUUGUAUAAUGGGUCAGCGACUUAUAUUCAGUGGCAAGGUUAACCAUCUAGGGGAGCCGUAGGGAAACCGAGUCUUAACUGGGCGUUCAGUCUCUGGAUAUAGACCCGAAACCAGGUGAUCUAGCCAUGGGCAGGUUGAAGGUUGAGUAACAUCAACUGGAGGACCGAACCGACUAAUGUUGAAAAAUUAGCGGAUGACUUGUGGCUAGGGGUGAAAGGCCAAUCAAACCUGGAGAUAGCUGGUUCUCCCCGAAAGCUAUUUAGGUAGCGCCUCGGACGAAUACUACUGGGGGUAGAGCACUGUUAAGGCUAGGGGGUCAUCCCGACUUACCAACCCUUUGCAAACUCCGAAUACCAGUAAGUACUAUCCGGGAGACACACGGCGGGUGCUAACGUCCGUCGUGGAGAGGGAAACAACCCAGACCGCCAGCUAAGGUCCCAAAUUACUACUAAGUGGGAAACGAUGUGGGAAGGCUCAGACAGCCAGGAUGUUGGCUUAGAAGCAGCCAUCAUUUAAAGAAAGCGUAAUAGCUCACUGGUCGAGUCGGCCUGCGCGGAAGAUGUAACGGGGCUAAGUAGUAAACCGAAGCUGCGGCAAUGUGCUUUUGCACAUUGGGUAGGGGAGCGUUCUGUAAGCGGUUGAAGGUGUGUGGUAACGCAUGCUGGACGUAUCAGAAGUGCGAAUGCUGACAUGAGUAACGAUAAAGGGGGUGAAAAACCUCCUCGCCGGAAGACCAAGGGUUCCUGUCCAACGUUAAUCGGGGCAGGGUAAGUCGACCCCUAAGGCGAGGCCGAAAGGCGUAGUCGAUGGGAAACGGGUUAAUAUUCCCGUACUUCUUACAAUUGCGAUGGGGGGACGGAGAAGGCUAGGUGGGCCUGGCGACGGUUGUCCAGGUUCAAGUGCGUAGGCUUAAGAGUUAGGUAAAUCCGGCUCUUUUUAAGGCUGAGACACGACGUCGAGCACCUACGGGUGUGAAGUCAUUGAUGCCAUGCUUCCAGGAAAAGCCUCUAAGCUUCAGAUUGUAAGGAAUCGUACCCCAAACCGACACAGGUGGUCGGGUAGAGAAUACCAAGGCGCUUGAGAGAACUCGGGUGAAGGAACUAGGCAAAAUGGUACCGUAACUUCGGGAGAAGGUACGCUCUCGACGGUGAAGUCCCUCGCGGAUGGAGCUAUUGAGAGUCGCAGAUACCAGGUGGCUGCAACUGUUUAUUAAAAACACAGCACUGUGCAAAAUCGUAAGAUGACGUAUACGGUGUGACGCCUGCCCGGUGCCGGAAGGUUAAUUGAUGGGGUUAGACUUCGGUCGAAGCUCUUGAUCGAAGCCCCGGUAAACGGCGGCCGUAACUAUAACGGUCCUAAGGUAGCGAAAUUCCUUGUCGGGUAAGUUCCGACCUGCACGAAUGGCGUAAUGAUGGCCACGCUGUCUCCACCCGAGACUCAGUGAAAUUGAAAUCGCUGUGAAGAUGCAGUGUACCCGCGGCUAGACGGAAAGACCCCGUGAACCUUUACUACAGCUUGGCACUGAACAUUGACCCUACAUGUGUAGGAUAGGUGGGAGGCUUUGAAGCACGUACGCCAGUAUGUGUGGAGCCGUCCUUGAAAUACCACCCUUGUAGUGUUGAUGUUCUAACGUCGACCCCUAAUCGGGGUUGCGGACAGUGCCUGGUGGGUAGUUUGACUGGGGCGGUCUCCUCCCAAAGAGUAACGGAGGAGCACGAAGGUGGGCUAAUCACGGUUGGACAUCGUGAGGUUAGUGCAAUGGCAUAAGCCCGCUUGACUGCGAGAAUGACAAUUCGAGCAGGUGCGAAAGCAGGUCAUAGUGAUCCGGUGGUUCUGAAUGGAAGGGCCAUCGCUCAACGGAUAAAAGGUACUCCGGGGAUAACAGGCUGAUACCGCCCAAGAGUUCAUAUCGACGGCGGUGUUUGGCACCUCGAUGUCGGCUCAUCACAUCCUGGGGCUGAAGUCGGUCCCAAGGGUAUGGCUGUUCGCCAUUUAAAGUGGUACGCGAGCUGGGUUUAGAACGUCGUGAGACAGUUCGGUCCCUAUCUGCCGUGGGCGUUGGAAGAUUGAAGGGGGCUGCUCCUAGUACGAGAGGACCGGAGUGGACGAACCUCUGGUGUUCGGGUUGUGUCGCCAGACGCAUUGCCCGGUAGCUAAGUUCGGAAUCGAUAACCGCUGAAAGCAUCUAAGCGGGAAGCGAGCCCUGAGAUGAGUCUUCCCUGAUACUUUAAGUAUCCUAAAGGGUUGUCGGAGACUACGACGUUGAUAGGUCAGGUGUGUAAGUGCUGUGAGGCAUUGAGCUAACUGAUACUAAUUGCCCGUGAGGCUUAACCAU
rnacentral:rRNA from 1 species